rnacentral:rRNA from 1 species
CGGGUUGUAAAGCACUUUAGUAGGGGAGCAAGGUUACGGCGCUAAUAUCGCCGUGAUUUGAGAGUACCCUAAGAAUAAGCACCGGCAAACUCUGUGC